CCGGCCCGUGCAGCGCGGGCUCGGCGGUGUGGGCCUGGCCGGGGCCGUGCGGGCGGCCCGCGGCACCGGGGCGCUAUGGGAGCCUGCGCCGCGCCCCCGGCCGCUCACUCGAGAGCUUUGCUCUGCCACUGCAGUGUCCUGAGAAACUUUGGUGGAGCAGGGUGAUUGUGGCUGGGUGUCAGAGCCGGAGGGGUUGAAGGAGUGGCCUGCUUGGAGCGAGUGGCCCUGGGAGCUUCCACGCAUCCCCGGGCGGCUAACAGGAAGCUAAUCAGUGGAAGCCUCGACUUUGCAGUGAAGCCCGGCGUGCACUGUGAUUUAGCUGGAGUGUGGAGUGCAUCUGGCUGACAAGGCAAUCCCUUGUGACUGCUAAAAUGCUAAACCUAAGGAGAAAGAAGGUAGCCUGUGAGGAGUUGAAUUUAAGGCGAAUGCAGCAGGGCAGAACAGUUUUCCUGUGGGAGUGGAAAUAGCCUUUUGAUGGAUCUGGUAGAAGGAUGAAAGGAAUGUGAACGAGAGCUUAGCUUUACUCCCGUGGUGAACUGUAUGACACCACAGAGCAGAGUGAACGUCCUGGGCACGUCCUGGGCACGUCCUGAGCUCAGCGGACUUCAUCCCUGCUGUGCCAGAGAGAAGAGCAAGAGGAGGCCGUUGGUACUGCCAGUGUGUGAGCUCUCUUGAGUGUCUAUGGCUGGCUGGUGGAUAGUUGAAUCCAUCUGGAUCUGUGCUGGGUGUCAUGAAAGACAAAUAGCAAUCAAUGACAGUACAGGACUGCAAGGUAUCACUGCUCUUUGGAAUGAAAUCUCCAGUGCACUGAAAGCAUCUGAAGUGCUUGCUGUUGCAGCACCGACCUGGAAGAAGCAUUCACUGUCUUCCUUGCUCAGGGAAGGGAGAAGCUCAGUCUCCAGCAACAUAGCACAGAGUAAC